ensembl:lncRNA
CUCAUACACACCUGUAUUCUCUUCCUCAUACACAUCUGGAUUCCCUUCCUCAUACACACCUGGAUUCCCUUCCUCAUACACACCUGGAUUCCCUUCCUCAUACACACCUGGAUUCCCUUCCUCAUACACACCUGGAUUCCCUUCCUCAUACACACCUGGAUUCCCUUCCUCAUACACACCUGGAUUCUCUUCCUCAUACACAUCUGGAUUCCCUUCCUCAUACACAUCUGGAUUCCCUUCCUCAUACACAUCUGGAUUCCCUUCCUCAUACACACCUGGAUUCCCUUCCUCAUACACAUCAGACCAACAUACAUUUUAUACAUCGUCAACAGAAGAGUCCUAGAAAACAUUUUUUUAAUGAUCUCUUCAAAUUGCCAAAAGGCCCAACCUUUGGCAUUUUGGCUUUCCUCAUUAUUGACACAAUGGCACUGUCACUACAACCAACCAAUGUUUGAGUCAACAAAAGCAGUUUACUUACUAAAGUGGGCAAAAGCUGAAACACAUCUGACAACCACACAGGCUAGGAGCAACAUACAGCACACCAUUUGGGAUUCAAUCCAAAUCUCAGGCUUUGUAGUGAAGCACAAAUUGGACGAUGACAGUAAUAACAACAAGGAAAUCCACGUUGACUUGGACAAAUUUUUUGACAUUAUUUUUUUCCUCACUGCACUUCAUCUCUAAGACGGGACAGGCCUGGUCCACUGUCACUGUGCAAAUAAACUCAGGGCGUGGGAGAGGGCAAAACCAAGAAGACUCAAAGAUUUACCCAGAAAUAGAGUUAUCCAUAGAGAUUGGGAUUGGAAAUUUGGAGCUGAAAUGGAGGAUAGUUUCCAGAACUCUGUUAUGUAUAUCUACGGCUUGCCCUGAUAUAAAUGAAUCAGAUCAGACUCUUACAUUUUAAACACAAGACAUGCUUUCUCUUUCUUUCUCCAUUAACUGACGACAUAAUUCUUAAAACGAAGACAGAACUAAACACAGAUAGCAAUGGAAUCCAUAACCAGGAAGAGACAGGCAGAACUAGAAUCCAUAACCAGGAAGAGACAGACUGCAGUAGAAUCCAUAACCAGGAAGAGACAGACAGAACUAGAAUCCAUAACCAGGAAGAGACAGACAGAACUAGAAUCCAUAACCAGGAAUAGACAGACAGAACUAGA